rnacentral:tRNA from 1 species
GCGUCGUUGUCGAGUGGUAAGGACACUUGCCUCUCGCUCUGGAUUCCCGGGUUCGAUCCCCGGCCGAGGAGCU